GCGAGCCGCAGAAGGUGUGAGCUCUUAGCGGGGAGAAACGAGGUGGGAGGAGAAGGGGGUGAUUCCCCUUUCUGCACAAGAAUUCCCUGUCUCCGGGCUCCGUGCAUGCAGCAAAUGCGUUAUGGAGACGAACGGAGCCCCCUCGCUUUAAAGAAAAGUAAAAAGGGAGGAAAACAGAGGGAUCCGAGCAUGCAGAAAGGAAAGACGAGACUCACGGCCGCUGGCUGCAGCAUGCACAGGAAAAAUCGCUACUUACCGAGCGGGAACUCCUCGGACAGGAGUUGGAAAAAAAAUACUGCGGUGAUGUCCAGGUUUUCUUCCACCCGCGCUCGCUUUUUAUACAAGUGCAACCCUCUGUCUAUUUCUGGAACGCGAUCAAAACCCUGAUGCUAUUUUUAGCAGUGUCUUUGUAAAGUGGGCUUUGGAGAAAACACAACAACCACCACCAUGCACCACUUGGCCAUUGUGCACAAACGUGGGUUUCAGGCAGGGAUGCUUGCUUUGCUGGGAGACUGAGGUGGCUUCAUACGGUGAAUUGCACCCAGCACAAAGAAGGGCUGCUGUUUCUUUUUUUAUAAUUCUCUCCUCCUCGCCCCCUGCCUUCCUCCCCCUUAAAAAAAAUGUAAUCCUUUGUUUGGAGAAUAAAGGAUCUAUAAAUAUAUAUGUGAAAAAAAAG
rnacentral:lncRNA from 1 species